rnacentral:rRNA from 1 species
AGUGGCGGACGGGUGAGUAACACGUAAGAAUUUGCCUCUAGGAGGGGGAAAAAAUUAGAGAUAGUUGGUAAUACCCCAUAUGCUUUCGAGUGAAACGGAUUUUUCCGCCUAGAGAGAAGCUUGCGGCUGAUUAGCUUGUUGGUGAGGUAAUGGCUCACCAAGGCGACGAUCAGUAUCUGGUUUGAGAGGACGAUCAGACACACUGGAACUGAGACACGGUCCAGACUCCUACGGGAGGCAGCAGUGGGGAAUUUUCCGCAAUGGGCGAAAGCCUGACGGAGCAAUACCGCGUGAGGGAUGACGGCCUAUGGGUUGUAAACCUCUUUUGUCAGGGAGGAAUCAAUGACGUGUACCUGAAGAAUAAGCAUCGGCUAACUCCGUGCCAGCAGCCGCGGUAAGACGGAGGAUGCAAGUGUUAUCCGGAAUCACUGGGCGUAAAGCGUCUGUAGGUGGUCCAAUAAGUCAACUGUUAAAUCUUGAGGCUCAACCUCAAAAUCGCAGUCGAAACUAUUAGACUAGAGUAUAGUAGGGGUAAAGGGAAUUUCCAGUGGAGCGGUGAAAUGCGUAGAGAUUGGAAAGAACACCGAUGGCGAAGGCACUUUACUGGGCUAUUACUAACACUCAGAGACGAAAGCUAGGGUAGCAAAUGGGAUUAGAUACCCCAGUAGUCCUAGCCGUAAACAAUGGAUACUAGAUGUUG